rnacentral:lncRNA from 1 species
AUUCAAUAGAUAGAAGAACUGACACAAUCUAGUGAAUCCAUAGAACUGAAUUUGAUUAGAUCAAACCCAAAAUCCAUUGUAGAGGCACCAUUAAAGAGAUCUGGUAGAGUACCGCAUCCGUUAGAUAGAUACUUUGAUUUUCAGUUCCAAGAUGUGAUCCUGUUAAACUCGAUGAGAACAACAACGAUUUGAUUACCUAUAUGGAUGCCAUGCAGAGACCCAUCUCUGAUUAAUGGCUUGGAGCCAUAGAGUCCAAAAUGAAGUCCAUAAUGGUCAACUGUGUAUGGGCACUCAUUGAUCCACUCGAAAGGGCAAAGCCCAUAGGGUGUAAGUGGAUCUUCAAUA